rnacentral:rRNA from 1 species
CGGCGGACGGGUGAGUAACGCGUGGACAACCUGCCCUAUGCAGGGGGAUAACAUCCGGAAACGGGUGCUAAUACCGCAUAAGCGCACAGUACCGCAUGGUACGGUGUGAAAAGCUGAGGCGGCAUAGGAUGGGUCCGCGUUGGAUUAGGCAGUUGGCGGGGUAACGGCCCACCAAACCAACGAUCCAUAGCCGGCCUGAGAGGGUGGACGGCCACAUUGGGACUGAGACACGGCCCAGACUCCUACGGGAGGCAGCAG